UCACACUUCGUGUCCGCUCUCUAAUUCAAAUAGUUUUCAUCCGAUCUUUACCAAACUUGGUCAGAAGUUGUAUCCAGACAAUAUCUAGGUCAAGUUCGAAUAUGGGUCAUGCCGGGUCAAAAACUAGGUCACUGGGUCACUUAGUGCAUUUCAAGGAUUUAGCAUGGUGUCCGCUCUCUAAUUGAAGUAGUUUUCAUCUGAUCUUUACUAAACUUGGUAAGAAGUUGUAUCAAGACAAUAUCUAGGUCAAGUUCGAAUAUGGGUCA